rnacentral:lncRNA from 1 species
AUUCUCCUGAGGAGGGGGUCUUGAGAGCUGAGACACAGAAGGGAGUAGAAGGAGAAGCUGUUUGUUUGGGCCAUUUCAAGACACCUUUGGAGAUUUCUUUCACUGACAGAAAUCCUAGCAAUGCUGGUUCCUCUUGAAACAUUGGUUCCUGUUAACAAACCUACUUUCUCCGAAGACUUUCAUUCCAUGAACUAUUGAGAUACUGGACUCAAUUCGGCAAUAUGAAGUAAAUGGAACUUUCAUUAAUUUUCCAUACAUUUCUGACAUCAUGUAGGAACUUCAAGAAAUUAAGAUCAGUGACAGUAAACUUUUUAGAGAUGAAGUGCCAGACCGGGCCCCCAUCCCACUUCUCAGAUCAAAUGCUGUUCCUCCCUGUCCCUAAUUUGAGACCACAUGCCACCCCCCUCCAUUUAAUAAUGAAUAUUCGCCAGACAAGUAUUUCAUACAUCAUAAUCACAAAUCACAAGAAAAAGGACCUUUAAAUUCCCAAGCUGACAUUUACUCAUACCUUUAUUUGGGAUUUGAUCAUAAAGUAAUCAUUCUUCCCAGAUGAGGAGAGUCUUAUGGGAAUGAAUGCAUGCUCUAGGAUGUGUCCAGAUACUUCUAAGGCAAGAAAUUUAUGAUGUCUCAGGUGGCUUUGAAGUUACAAGUUUGACUGGCUUUUUACCAUAUUUGGAAGAAGGAUGAUGUCUCAGUCCCAGGAUAAGAAGACUAUCUUGAAGAAUGAAGGUUUUCAGAACAAGAUGAAAACUUUAGCUACCCCACCUACUGAGAAGAAACCUUCAGCUGACUGACCACCACUUGCUGAGGGGAGUUGGUGUACUUUGACUCUGUAGGCUAUAUAUAUUUGUCAUUUCCUUAUCUCUACAUCUUUGGUUAGCAUGGGAUGGUUCUGGACUCUGCUAUUUUAUAAUUUAAAAGGCCUAUUAUAAAAUGUCAAUUUAGCCUUCCUUAUUGCUUCUCAGUAUUUAUUUAAUUUCAAUAUUUCAUGCCUUUUA